AACGAACGCUGGCGGCAGGCCUAACACAUGCAAGUCGAGCGCCCGGAUUUAUCCGGGAGCGGCGCACGGGUGAGUAACGCGUGGGAACAUGCCCUGAAGUACGGAACAACCUGGGGAAACCUUGGCUAAUACCGUAUACGCCCUGAGGGGGAAAGAUUUAUCGCUUUGGGAUUGGCCCGCGUUGGAUUAGGUGGUUGGUGUGGUAACGGCUCACCAAGGCGACGAUCCAUAACUGGUCUGUGAGGAUGACCAGUCACACUGGGACUGAGACACGGCCCAGACUCCUACGGGAGGCAGCAGUGGGGAAUAUUGGACAAUGGGCGAAAGCCUGAUCCAGCCAUGCCGCGUGAGUGAAGAAGGCCUUCGGGUUGUAAAGCUCUUUCAGCGGGGACGAUGAUGACGGUACCCGCAGAAGAAGCCCCGGCUAACUUCGUGCCAGCCGCCGCAGUAA
rnacentral:rRNA from 1 species